UAUGUGUCCUUCGGGAGAAAGAUUUAUCGGCAAGAGAUGAGCCCGCGUUGGAUUAGCUAGUUGGUGGGGUAAAGGCCUACCAAGGCGACGAUCCAUAGCUGGUCUGAGAGGAUGAUCAGCCACAUUGGGACUGAGACACGGCCCAAACUCCUACGGGAGGCAGCAGUGGGGAAUAUUGGACAAUGGGSGCAAGCCUGAUCCAGCCAUGCCGCGUGAGUGAUGAAGGCCCUAGGGUUGUAAAGCUCUUUCACCGGAGAAGAUAAUGACGGUAUCCGGAGAAGAAGCCCCGGCUAACUUCGUGCCAGCAGCCGCGGUAAUACGAAGGGGGCUAGCGUUGUUCGGAAUUACUGGGCGUAAAGCGCACGUAGGCGGAUCGAUCAGUCAGGGGUGAAAUCCCAGGGCUCAACCCUGGAACUGCCUUUGAUACUGUCGAUCUGGAGUAUGGAAGAGGUGAGUGGAAUUCCGAGUGUAGAGGUGAAAUUCGUAGAUAUUCGGAGGAACACCAGUGGCGAAGGCGGCUCACUGGUCCA
rnacentral:rRNA from 1 species